UUGUGUCGCCAGACGCAUUGCCCGGUAGCUAAGUUCGGAAUUGAUAAGCGCUGAAAGCAUCUAAGCGCGAAGCGAGCCCUGAGAUGAGUCUUCCCUGAUACUUUAAGUAUCCUAAAGGGUUGUUCGAGACUAGAACGUUGAUAGGCAGGGUGUGUAAGCGUUGUGAGGCGUUGAGCUAACCUGUACUAAUUGCCCGUGAGGCUUAAC
rnacentral:rRNA from 1 species